UCCAGGCGGGCACUUCACGCGUUAGCUUCGUUACUGAGUCAGUGAAGACCCAACAACCAGUUGACAUCGUUUAGGGCGUGGACUACCAGGGUAUCUAAUCCGUGUUUGCUCCCCACGCUUUCGUGCAUGAGCGUCAGUACAGGCCCAGGGGAUUGCCUUCGCCAUCGGUGUUCCUCCGCAUAUCUACGCAUUUCACUGCUACACGCGGAAUUCCAUCCCCCUCUGCCGUACUCUAGCUAUACAGUCACAAAUGCAGUUCCCAGGUUGAGCCCGGGGAUUUCACAUCUGUCUUAUAUAACCGCCUGCGCACGCUUUACGCCCAGUAAUUCCGAUAAACGCUUGCACCCUACAUAUUACCGCGGCUGCUGGCACGUAGUUAGCCGGUGCUUAUUCUUACGGUACCGUCAUGGACCCCAGGUAUUAACCAGAGUCUUUUCUUUCCGUACAAAAGCAGUUUACAACCCGAAGGCCUUCAUCCUGCACGCGGGAUGGCUGGAUCAGGCUUUCGCCCAUUGUCCAAAAUUCCCCACUGCUGCCUCCCGUA
rnacentral:rRNA from 1 species